rnacentral:rRNA from 1 species
GACGAACGCUGGCGGCGUGCUUAACACAUGCAAGUCGAACGGAAAGGCCCUGCUUGCCGGGUACUCGAGUGGCGAACGGGUGAGUAACACGUGGGUGAUCUGCCCUGCACUUCGGGAUAAGCCUGGGAAACUGGGUCUAAUACCGGAUAGGAGCCAUUUUUAGUGUGAUGGUUGGAAAGUUUUUUCGGUGUAGGAUGAGCUCGCGGCCUAUCAGCUUGUUGGUGGGGUAAUGGCCUACCAAGGCGGCGACGGGUAGCCGGCCUGAGAGGGUGGACGGCCACAUUGGGACUGAGAUACGGCCCAGACUCCUACGGGAGGCAGCAGUGGGGAAUAUUGCACAAUGGGCGCAAGCCUGGUGCAGCGACGCCGCGUGGGGGAUGACGGCCUUCGGGUUGUAAACUCCUUUCGCUAGGGACGAAGCUUUUUGUGACGGUACCUAGAGAAGAAGCACCGGCUAACUACGUG